rnacentral:rRNA from 1 species
GACGAACGCUGGCGGCGUGCUUAACACGUGCAAGUCGAACGGAAAGGCCCUGCUUUUGUGGGGUGCUCGAGUGGCGAACGGGCGAGUAACACGUGAGUAACCUGCCCUUGACUUUGGGAUAACUUCAGGAAACUGGGGCUAAUACCGGAUAGGAGCUCCUGCUGCAUGGUGGGGGUUGGAAAGUUUCGGCGGUUGGGGAUGGACUCGCGGCUUAUCAGCUUGUUGGUGGGGUAGUGGCUUACCAAGGCUUUGACGGGUAGCCGGCCUGAGAGGGUGACCGGCCACAUUGGGACUGAGAUACGGCCCAGACUCCUACGGGAGGCAGCAGUGGGGAAUAUUGCACAAUGGGCGGAAGCCUGAUGCAGCAACGCCGCGUGCGGGAUGACGGCCUUCGGGUUGUAAACCGCUUUCGCCUGUGACGAAGCGUGAGUGACGGUAAUGGGUAAAGAAGCACCGGCUAACUACGUG